rnacentral:lncRNA from 10 species
AAAAUUCUCAUCUGUGUAUUUACUUUGCAUAGAACAUUUCCUAUCUAAAGUAUCUGUUUAAACUUGAAGGUGAAUCAGAGUGGAGGUGGUUUCAUCUCAUAUUGCAAAACGUUUUCUACUUCAUGCAUGAGAGGUACUACUGGACAACUGGGUUUUGAAACAUAACUGUAUUCACAGGCUGGUCUCCCAGUGCGUUUAGGACCCUGCUUUUGAGGCAUCCAAGUGGGAGAGCCUCUGUUCAUGACAAAAGGGAACCUCCCACCAGCCUGAGGGCGGGACGCUGAGGACCCCAGAGCCCUGCCUCCAGGCUGCUGUCGUAGUGUGACACAGCAACUUCCGAGCAGGAAGGAGAAGCCCGAUCCUAACUGGGGGAAGCUGUUUGCUUAGACAACUUUCUACACUUCAAAUAUUACACCUUAAACAACACACUGGACUAAGAAAUCUGAUCAUGUCCAGGCUUUUAACACCCUCCUCCCCCAAGGAACAAUAAAACACACCAGCGAAAACAAAGAGGCUGCCCUGAAAAGGUUGCAGUGGUGGAUGAUACUGGCAGAAUCAGAAAGGAAGCUAAGAGAAACAGGCGCGUCCUCAGCCGGGCCUCGCGUGUCCUGACACUGCAGCAGGCACGGGAUGUGGGCUGUCCCCUCCAGCACAGUGCGGGAAGGUGCUGGGGCAUCCAAACAGCAAAAGCAAACCUGAGACCCCAAAACAACUGCGUCUGGCCCAGGGGAGUGGGCAAAAAUUCCAACAGGGAGAGACCGUCUCUGGCUUAUUUACAGACAGGAAGAAAGCUAUUAGUGCUCCAUGUAAACAAGCACGCCCAAUUCAAGUUGGAACUCUUUAAAUUCUGGAAGACAGCACAUCACAUCCAGCCACGAGGGGGCGCAGCCGAGCAGCAAGGAGCGCAAAAGUCUCAUUCUUCACUGCAAUUUCUACCUACAGCUCUCUCAAAGUAUACACAUUUUCAAGAUUGUUUCCAAAUUCAGGUAUCCACAGGACACUGCUAAGCAAGCUGGGAGCUUUGCCAAGGCCAAAAUAAAUUAAAUUAUGGUACGGUUCAAACUCUGGAAGUACUGUGUAUAGGAAAGGUUGUUUCUCUGUAUAUAAAAGUUAAUACUGGUAUUUCAAAAACCAUGGUUAAAAUCCCUGGAGGAUUCCUGAAAUGAGAACAAACACACAACAACAAACACACACCCAAGUCAUGAGAUGUGAACGUGGAGAAACCAACAGUUCAGAAUUUCCAGUGGGGCUUGCAACAUGGACUCCCAAUAAAACAAUGAGUCUCAAUAAAUUCGGCACUAAGCUUUUACCAGUAUAGAUAGACGCCUUUACUGGGCCUACUUACUACUUCUUAAUAACUAUAAAUUAUCUCCAUACUGAACAGAUACUGCUUCAGGCAGUUAUUUGGGAAAACCCUUCAUAAAGGACAUUGGAGAGGGGCCAUUUAAUUAUAAAAUGUAACACAGUUAACCUUAGGGAGAUGAUGAAGCGAGAUCAUUAUGUGUAACUACUUGCUGGGAUUCUUUCUAUUUAAAUUAUAAGUUCAGGUUAUAUGAUGUUGUAUGUUCAAUAAUAAUGCUCAUAAUAGAUGAAAUGUUAUAAUGAGUCUCCACAUUUGAAAAUUGGAAACUAUAAACAUAUCUAUAUUUUAUAAUCAUUUGAAUUGUGAUACUACUUCAUAAUAAUUUGGUGUCAGAGUAUGUUUUUAGCAUUUUGAGUCUAAGGCCUCAUUAACAUUAGGGUAAGGAACUCUCAGAUUUGACAAUUUUUCCCAUAAGAUUACGUGCUUUACUAGUAAAGACUAGCCAGCAUUGCCCAACCUCCCAUUCUCGGGCAUAAUGAAAAUAUUUUUUCUCCUGUAUUUAUAAUUGCUUGGAUGGGAUUCUGUUUCAAUCCUCCUGUAGCAUCUUUUCCCUAAAGAUACACUGUUUUUCUCCCUCACACUAGAGACCCUUAAUAAACAAUGUCAAGGAGGUGGGGAACUUAGAGUAGAAAGGAAAGGCUUUGCCAAAAGUAUGUGACAGUUUUUGUGUUUAAAAAAAAAAAAAAAGACUCAAGAUAUAUGUAAGUCUUACUAAAACAGGGAAAUAUAAGGUUUUAGAACAAUUCUGUGAAAGAUAAAAUUACAUCUUAGUUAAAACCAAAGGUGGCCUUCUAGGUUUUAUUAGACAACUAUUUGCCACUGAAUAAAACUAAGGAAUAAAAGUAAAGUAUGCUACUUCAAGAAAUGCUUCAAUGGAAGCUUUUCUUAAAAGUUAAAAAUUAAAAACUAGUCAUGCCUUCAAAUCUGGAUGCUUCAUUACUAUCAAAGAAUCACUUAAAAUAUUCCUUACAAAUACAGAACAUAUUUCAUCUUAUAACUUAUCCGUGCAGUCCAAAGAGGAAAACCUGAGAAAUGUUGUUUCUUUUACUUACUGUGUAAAACUGAACAUUGUAUUGUACGGCCUAAACUUGGAUUCCCUAGAGAACAAUAUCACAUUUCUACAACAUGACAUGAGUACAAAAAUUUGAGGUGCAGGAUAAUAGAAAUAUACUUGAGACAUGCAAAUGGAAGGAAAUAACUAUUUUAUGUAAUACCUGUCCCAUGUAAGUAACCUACAUGUUCCGAAUGUUUAAUUUGGUUGCCUCUAAGAAUUAGGUAGGCUAAUAAGGUUUUACAAAGACAAUUUAAACUUUGUAUCAUAUACCUGAAUAAUUCACACACAGACAAUAAUUGUAGAAAGAAAAAGGCAAUGAGGAUACAACUAAACUUGAGGGGAGUAAAUGAUACUUUGUAAAUAUGGCAGCCAUUAAAGAAUAACUACUUUGGGACUAUUUUGAGAUAAAAUGUUUGUCUUCCCAAGGACUUCUGUGCAUUGAUAAUGAAUGGCUCAUUGAACUUUAAGCUAUGUCACUUAAAUACAAUAAAAAUAAUCAGAGUACCACACUAAAUGUAAUAACUAUUUAUUUUCUAAGGAAAAUACUUCAUAAUUCUUCAAUUACCUUCAAUGGUCUUCAUGGAAAGCCUUCCUCAACCUCCCCAGCCUGCCACCCCCAGCCUGCCACUCUAUUCAUUCUACCUGUCUUCUGGAGCUUUAGAAGGAGGCAGGAACCACCUGAAGAAUUGAAUUUUUAAUGUGUAAACCAACUACUUGUCAGAGAGCUAAGAAUCACUGCCAGUGAAACGUAUUUUAUUUUAUAUUUCUGGACAUGGUAAAACUAUUUAAAAAAAUUAGUUUGCCUUAAAAAGUUCAGAAAAGACCACCAAGUUCCUGACAAGCAGAGAGGCAGAGCAAAAAUUCUUCCACUCUGGAUCAUAGCACCCAAAUUCCUCAGGCAGAUUGGUUUUCUCUGAUAGCACGGAAGACACAGGAGAGGUACAGAUGGGCAGGGAGAUGUCCCCUCAAAGAAGGAAAGAAAUCUGAAAAGCAAAUCUGUAUCACCUAUUAUAAAAUGGGAUAACCACACAGGGAAGAUCAGUUUAAAGCAGCUGCCAGCUCGAUAUCUCAUUAGCGUGACUAGGAUUUUAUGCAAACCUGUUCUGGUGUAGAGAUGACCUUGGGACUUUCAGAUUCUCUGAGUUUAACUUGGGCAAUACUUCUAAACACAAGGGUGGGGUACACCAGCAGGCCUGCUCCAAACCCCAGGAGCUGCAGUGCAUGGCGUGGAAUGAUAAGCAGCCGGCCGGAGCAGAGGCAAGCAAAGCGCUAAAGGCUGAUCUGGAGCAAGAGACUUUUGAUCAUUUAGUGUUUUUGACCAUGGUCUAUUCAAGUGUACAUUUUACUUUUCUUCAACAGGUUCACUCAGCCCACUGUUAAACAUCAGUGAGUGUGCAUAUGGAUAUACAGAAUAUAUAGACAUAGAUCAUGUCUGUAAGAACCAGAAUCCCUUCCCCUUUACUAUUCUAUGGGAAAGUCCUUAGAGAAUGCUUAGCUUCUUUUCAGUUAACUGCCUAGGAAGGUUUUUAAAGGAAAAAAGCUUAGAAUUAAUUAGUAACUCUGCAAAGCUACAGGUUUUUGUAAAGUGACAAAAAAGAUAGUAAGGCAGACAUGAAUGAGUUUUAAGAACUGAAGUUUGCUGCUACCUGGAGUUACUAGAGAAACAAAGCUGCCUUUGGGCACCUCAAACUAGUCAGACCUGCUAUAGCAGUUGCACAGUCAGCUCCAGAUCUGUCCUCUGCUCUUCUCCCUCCAGCCCCCACCCCACGCCUCCGCAUAGCUCAGUCCACUCUCUACUCAGGGUGGAGGUGGGCCGGGCACACUCACCCCUUGAUCUGCUGUCCCUGUGGGGAGGCAGGGCCAGCUCUGGCCAGACAGUGUGCAAGUGUAAGAAUAGGCCGGCCAGGAGCACAGAUGCCAACUCCAUUCUGAGCUGAAAACUGCAAUGGGUGCGGAAUACAGCUUAGGUGAUCUUGGGUUUCCAAAAUAGAUCAAUCAAAUUGUGGGGUUUACUUCAGAGAAUCCUAGCAUUAAGUUCAGAUGAGGGACAGAGGAUUCUGAGAAAAGACAAAUGGGUCUUUCCAGCUUUGGGAUCCCUCAGACCACAAAGAGGGCAGAAUUUUCAAAAGAGAGUUUGCGCUGUCUAUAUGUGGUGCUUGUUCAAACUGGCAGUAUCUGUUCUGUCCUAUUAGAAAUCAUAUAUUAUAAAAUAUAUUGUGAUAUUUUACUUUAAAAUUUUCAUUUGUAUUUCAAAGAAAAUUUUUAGACAGCCAAUCAUGUUUUGUUUGUCUCGUGAUCUCCGAGAAAAAAAAAACAAAACAAGGAGUCUAUUUAUUACUCAGAAUAGGAAUGUCGUCUUAUUGGGCUGACAUAUGCCAUUCACAGAUUCAUACAAAGAAUGAACUGCCACACAGUGCUAAUGGAGAAAGACACUGCUCCACACAAUGAGUGACGGACGCUCCAGGGGACAGUUCUGUUCAUAAGGGUUUCCCAGCAUCUGCACACAGGGCAUAAGUUUGCCUUUAAUAUCAACUGCACUGGCCAUUUGAGACAAUCAUUUUUUCUAGAUUAGUAGCCAUUUCCUUCAAACAUACUAAAACUAAAUGAAAUAGCCACACAUUUCUUAAACAGGAGUCCUGGCUUGUGGCUUUCUACCAAUUGCUUAAUGAGUAAUUAUUAACAAUAUGUACAAAAUAUAUGAGUUGUGCAUAUAAAGUGGCCAUGGCACUUUUAGAUUUUCAUGUUUUGCUAGUCAGUAUUAAUUAACAGAAAGACCUAUGAGAGCUGGUGUCACCCUUAUUGUGAGGCCAUUUUCAUGUCAACUGGAGCUUGCCUUCUGGUGCCUUCAGUACACAACUGAUCUUUGGACUCAGUAAUCAGAGACGGCGCCUGCGCUUGCUCUCUCUCUCACGCACCAAGUAACUAUUGCAACUAGAGCUAUCUCCUAUAGGAUAUGCCAUGACAGUGAAUACAAAAUUUCUGUUGCCAAGAAGCUUUAAAAAUUCUAUGAGUGAAUUAAAGUUCAUGGCCCCAAAUACGCCUAUCUAUAUAUAGCUUUUUCCACAGGUAAUAUUGACAAAGUGGUCUUGAUUCUGUUGAUAUAUGUGAAAUAUAAAAUAAAGCUUCAUACUUUUUUUUCUGUGCUUUUUAACAAGAAACCACAGCAAAAGAAACCUCUCAAAGUUUCUGUUCCAGCUUUCACCUUUCUUAGUUACUAAAAUGUAAAAUAUUUUGUCUGAGGGUAAACUUGUAGUAUAAUUGGACACUGAUAAUAAAAGUAGCAUGCUGCAAGUUGAUAGAAAUUUUUAUGUAUUUGCAUUCGAACAUCUUCAAACUGCCUUCAUACGUUUUGUAAUGUUUUUUGUGUGUGAUGCAUGUGUGUGCCUUUCUAAAGUAGUGUUGUAACUU